CCUACGGGAGGCUGCAGUGAGGAAUAUUGGUCAAUGGACGAGAGUCUGAACCAGCCAAGUAGCGUGAAGGAUGACUGCCCUACGGGUUGUAAACUUCUUUUAUAUGGGAAUAAAAUGUUCCACGUGUGGGUUUUUGUAUGUACCAUAUGAAUAAGGAUCGGCUAACUCCGUGCCAGCAGCCGCGGUAAUACGGAGGAUCCGAGCGUUAUCCGGAUUUAUUGGGUUUAAAGGGAGCGUAGGUGGAUUGUUAAGUCAGUUGUGAAAGUUUGCGGCUCAACCGUAAAAUUGCAGUUGAUACUGGCAGUCUUGAGUACAGUAGAGGUAGGCGGAAUUCGUGGUGUAGCGGUGAAAUGCUUAGAUAUCACGAAGAACUCCGAUUGCGAAGGCAGCUCACUGGACUGCAACUGACACUGAGGCUCGAAAGUGUGGGUAUCAAACAGGAUUAGAUACCCUUGUAGUC
rnacentral:rRNA from 1 species